rnacentral:ribozyme from 1 species
GGUCGUUCGGGCGACUUAAAACAGAACUUUAAGCCCGAAGCGUUGAGGGUGAAAACCCUCAGGAGUA